rnacentral:rRNA from 1 species
UCCUACGGGACGCAGCAGUGAGGAAUAUUGGUCAAUGGGUGGAAGCCUGAACCAGCCAAGUCGCGUGAGGGAAGAAGGCCCUGCGGGUCGCAGACCUCUUUGGACGGGGAGCAAGGCCGCCGACGUGUCGGCGGAAGGAGAGUACCCGUAGAACAAGCAUCGGCUAACUCCGUGCCAGCAGCCGCGGUAAUACGGAGGAUGCGAGCGUUAUCCGGAUUUAUUGGGUGUAAAGGGCGUGUAGGCGGGAAUGCAAGUCAGAUGUGAAAACUAUGGGCUCAACCCAUAGCCUGCAUUUGAAACUGUAU